UACGGAGGGGGCUAGCGUUGUUCGGAAUUACUGGGCGUAAAGCGCACGUAGGCGGCUUUGUAAGUUAGAGGUGAAAAGCCCAGGGCCUAACCCUGGAAUUGCCUUUAAGACUGCAUCGCUAGAAUCGUGGAGAGGUGAGUGGAAUUCCGAGUGUAGAGGUGAAAUUCGUAGAUAUUCGGAAGAACACCAGUGGCGAAGGCGACUCACUGGACACGUAUUGACGCUGAGGUGCGAAAGCGUGGGGAGCAAACAGG
rnacentral:rRNA from 1 species